CUCCCUGCUCCCCGGCAGUCCCCACAUGCAGCAGCAGACUAGUGGGUAGAACUGCAGGGGUAUGGAGACAUCCCGAACUUCAGCAGCAGCAGUCCCAGCACCCCGCCCCCAACCUCAGGCAUGAAGAGCAAGGUGUAUGGACACUGUGGACACAUGUCCCUUGAAGUCUGGCCUCCACCAGUACAUUGCCUGGGUUAAAUUCCACACAUGUCUGGCCCUGAAGCCAGUACUGUGUGCUUUCUUCAGCUAAAGCAAGCCCCCCUCCAUCUCUUCUGUAGCUUCCUAGGUCCUGGGCUCAUCAAGCAAUUGAAAUCUUUCAAAAUGAUCGAUCAGGGCUGAUCCACUCGAGAUUUUACUUGUGGUUGAUGUUAUUUUUCAAGUCAACGACCAAUUACAGUAACAGCAUUGAUUAAACACCGUCUCUCUGCCCUGCAUGGAAAUGCCAUCUUUCCUGUGCUUUACCUCAGAAUGGACCGGGCUUGGUUGCACACGGCUUUGAGCCCAGCACGCUGAAGACAAACAGGUGGAACUCUGUGAGUCUAAGGCCAGCCUAGUCUACAAAGAGAGUUCCAGAACAGCCAGGAGUACAUAAUGAAACCCUGUGUCAAAACACAACCAACAAACAGCGUGGGUCUUGAAUGGCUUUUAUACGUCUUGGCCUCCUGGUCUACAAACUUGCUGUGUCAAUGCCAUGUAGCCUUUCACGCUAUUCCAUCAGCUUGGUCCAGAGUUUUAGCAUCUGGCACAACUGUUCUACAUCAGUGUUUUUCAGAGAUAAAAUGCUGCUCGUGAAAUGGAAAUAUUUAGAAUUGCUUCUACAUAAAUGUUAAAUGCUUUUAUAGAACCCAAGGAAAACCCUGUUGAUGUUCUGAUUAAAAUUAAGGUUCAUCCCUUUG
ensembl:lincRNA 4833412C05Rik RIKEN cDNA 4833412C05 gene